GGAGACAUGGCUUGUUGGGAGCUGUUCUCAGUCUCCUGUUUCCCUCCCGGUUGGUGGAGGAGCUGCAUGAGGAAUGGGAGAAUGGAGAGGAAAAGCCUGGACCCAAAUGGCUUCUGUGUGAAACCAGAUAAGAAGAACUAAUGCAAAUCCUGGCUCAACCUGUCUACAUCAGGCCUGGCCACGAUGGCUGAAACUGGAGCAAAUGUAGAGACCCAGCCUGAGAGCGAGGGAGGGAGAAAACACAGGAAGCUGUUUCUAAGCAAACAAGCCCUUUUAUUGCUUCAGAAUGUGAUACUCCCGGACAUAAACAGUGAACAUCUCGCAAAGUCUUCAGAUCCUAACACUUAAAAUUCUCGUCUCCUGCCUCCCCCGAGAAAUAAUAUUAAGCAUGAGAAGAGAGUUUCAAAUAACAAUUAAACAUUU